UAGAUAGUACGAGUUCAUACUCGUGGCGAAUAGCUCAGUAACACGUGGCCAAACUACCCUUCGGAAACACAAUACCCUCGGGAAACUGAGGCUAAUAGUGUAUACCAUACCACCACUGGAAUGAGUGGUAUGCCAAACGCUCCGGCGCCGAAGGAUGUGGCUGCGGCCGAUUAGGUAGACGGUGGGGUAACGGCCCACCGUGCCAAUAAUCGGUACGGGUCAUGAGAGUGAGAACCCGGAGACGGAAUCUGAGACAAGAUUCCGGGCCCUACGGGGCGCAGCAGGCGCGAAACCUUUACACUGCACGACAGUGCGAUAGGGGGACCCCAAGUGCACAGGCAUAGCGCCUGUGCUUUUCGGCACCCUAAGGCGGUGCCAGAAUAAGGGCUGGGCAAGACCGGUGCCAGCCGCCGCGGUAAUACCGGCAGCCCAAGUGAUGGCCGAUCUUAUUGGGCCUAAAGCGUCCGUAGCUGGCCGCGCAAGUCCAUCGGGAAAUCCACCUGCUCAACAGGUGGGCGCCCGGUAGAAACUGCGUGGCUUGGGACCGGAAGGCGCGACGGGUACGUCCGGGGUAGGAGUGAAAUCCCGUAAUCCUGGACGGACCGCCGAUGGCGAAAGCACGUCGCGAGAACGGAUCCGACAGUGAGGGACGAAAGCCAGGGUCUCGAACCGGAUUAGAUACCCGGGUAGUCCUGGCCGUAAGCAAUGUCUGCUAGGUGUGGCUCCCACUACGAGUGGGUGCUGUGCCGUAGGGAA
rnacentral:rRNA from 1 species